rnacentral:lncRNA from 1 species
AUACCCGGACCGAACCUCUAAACAUUUUGCCCUUUAUUUAAAAUAUCACCCAUUGGCGAGGGCUAACUCAGAUCCUAGCUCAAGACUACCUUAGUCAUUCCCUAGCUAGAUCGUUUCAACUUAUGCACAGCGGAAUAGUAUCUACUUAACCAUUGGUCUAUAACCAAUAUAAUACUUGUCUGGUCGAAUCACCUCGGCUAAUGGUUAGUAUACUCAACUACCAGCUAGCUCCAAGGUCAAUCCCGAACCCAAAUCAAGACAUACAAAUCUGAGGUUCCAUUCCCCUAACCAUUCUAUCUAGAUCUAUGCAACAUUGCUAGAUCAUAC